rnacentral:rRNA from 1 species
AGGGUUCGAUUAUGGCUCAGAACGUACGCUGGCGGCACGCCUAACACAUGCAAGUCGAACGAAGUAGCAAUACUUAGUGGCAGACGGGUGAGUAACAUGUAGGUAUCUGCCCUUUGGCCUGGAAUAACACGAGGAAACUUGUGCUAAUACCGGAUAAGUCUUUACAGAGAAAGCUUUAUGCACCAUUGGAUGAGCCUGCACUUGAUUAGUUUGUUGGUAGGGUAAUGGCCUACCAAGACUGUGAUCAAUAGCUGAUUUGAGAGGAUGAUCAGCCACAUUGGGACUGAGACACGGCCCAAACUCCUACGGGAGGCAGCAGUGGGGAAUCUUGCACAAUGGAGGAAACUCUGAUGCAGCGAUGCCGCGUGAGUGAAGAAGGCCCUUGGGUUGUAAAGCUCUUUCGUCGGGGAAGAAAAUGACUGUACCCGAAUAAGAAGGUCCGGCUAACUUCGUGCCAGCCGCCGCGGUAAUAC